rnacentral:tRNA from 1 species
UGCCAGUUAGCUCAGUUGGUUGAGCAUGGUACUGGUAACACCAAGGUCACGGGUUCGAUUCCCGUUCUGUCCC